rnacentral:rRNA from 1 species
CCUACGGGCGGCUGCAGUGGGGAAUAUUGGACAAUGGGCGAAAGCCUGAUCCAGCCAUGCCGCGUGUGUGAAGAAGGCCUUCGGGUUGUAAAGCACUUUCAGUGGGGAAGAAAGCCUUGGGGCUAAUACCCUCGAGGAAGGACAUCACCCACAGAAGAAGCACCGGCUAACUCCGUGCCAGCAGCCGCGGUAAUACGGAGGGUGCGAGCGUUAAUCGGAAUUACUGGGCGUAAAGCGCGCGUAGGCGGUCUGAUAAGCCGGUUGUGAAAGCCCCGGGCUCAACCUGGGAACGGCAUCCGGAACUGUCAGGCUAGAGUGCAGGAGAGGAAGGUAGAAUUCCCGGUGUAGCGGUGAAAUGCGUAGAGAUCGGGAGGAAUACCAGUGGCGAAGGCGGCCUUCUGGACUGACACUGACGCUGAGGUGCGAAAGCGUGGGUAGCAAACAGGAUUAGAUACCCUAGUAGU